rnacentral:rRNA from 1 species
GACGAACGCUGGCGGCGUGCUUAACUCAUGCAAGUCGAACGGAAAGGCCCUGCUUUUGUGGGGUGCUCGAGUGGCGAACGGGUGAGUAACACGUGAGUAACCUGCCCUUGACUUUGGGAUAACUUCAGGAAACUGGGGCUAAUACCGGAUAGGAGCUCCUGCUGCAUGGUGGGGGUUGGAAAGUUUCGGCGGUUGGGGAUGGACUCGCGGCUUAUCAGCUUGUUGGUGGGGUAGUGGCUUACCAAGGCUUUGACGGGUAGCCGGCCUGAGAGGGUGACCGGCCACAUUGGGACUGAGAUACGGCCCAGACUCCUACGGGAGGCAGCAGUGGGGAAUAUUGCACAAUGGGCGGAAGCCUGAUGCAGCAACGCCGCGUGCGGGAUGACGGCCUUCGGGUUGUAAACCGCUUUCGCCUGUGACGAAGCGUGAGUGACGGUAAUGGGUAAAGAAGCACCGGCUAAUUACGUG